AUAGAAUAUUAAGCGUUUCACUAUAAGAUUAAGGUUUAUUUUAGGACUAUGAGUUUAAGUUGAGAACUUAUCUUGUAGGACCUACAGAAGAGGAUACUUAGGUUCCUGAUCAGCUCAGUUAAAUUAUUUGGAUUGUCUCCAAAUCAGGUGAGGCUUUAUUUACGAAAUGUAUGUUGAGCUAAUAAGCUCACUCAUACGAAAUUUUAAAGUGGAUGGUUCAUGUUUAAAAUAUUUUUGCUCUCUAUUGGUUAUUGCUGCCACCAGAACAUUGUUGGCUUCGCCAACCAGAACUUUGUUAGCUCUGCUAACCAGAAUUGUGUACGUACACUAGAACCUGUUGUCUCGAGAGAUUCGAUGACAACCAGUUGUAGAUAGCACGCCCAAUAGAUGAGCCAGGAAAAUAUGAGCUCAGAUUGUUUUAGUAUGCAUGGAAUGACUCACUUUAAAAACAUUCUGUGUCAUAUUGUUUAAGGCAUGAAUUAUCUUUUUCAGUAAAUGAUUUUUAAAAUGUUUUUAAACGGCUCAACCCACUGAGUACACUAGUACUCAGCCCUGCAAUUGUUUUCAAAACCUUUUGCAGAUUGAGCAGCUGGUGGUGACGUGCGAGGCUGAGGAAGGGUUGUUGCUAUGGAUUUUGAAUAAAUGCUAUGUUUACUUCCGCUGAAAUAAAUUCACUUAGUGAAUAUUAUCUGUUGCCCAACUAUGUUAAUACUUUAUUCAUAUUUUUAUGUGAAUUUCACUCUCCAUCACUUUCUUAGCGAUUGUUUUCCGCAUCUAUCAUUUGCUUAGUAUGAGACAUUGUCUUGGUCUCAGACCUUCGAACUUCCGAUCCUGAUAGGGAGAAUAAUUAUGUUAUAACGUCGUACUUGUUUUCAUUUAAAUACGGCAUAAUGCCCAACCCUCAGGGCACAUUACCUAUUUUAUUCAAGUAAAGCUUAGUAGUCCUGUCACAUAACCCAUUUCUUUUUCUCCCGAGAAAUUAGGGCUGUCACAAAUGGUAUCAGAGCAAAAGUUCUUGGCUCUGAGACCGCUAUUUCAUUGAUGUUGAGUCUAGAAUAGCAUCUCUAGACUUCUAAGCUACACAGCAACCCUCAGCUCGCCUUCACACCGCUCUCAAGAAAGAAAGGUACGCGAUUUUAACAAAUUUUACUUAAAGUGCGUACAAGUAUUUAAAGUGGUUUUAAAAGCAAG
rnacentral:lncRNA from 1 species